rnacentral:tRNA from 1 species
GCCUAGUUAGCUCGAUGGGUAGAGCAUCUGCCUUGUAAGCGCUAGGUCGGGGGUUCGAUUCCCGCCCGGGGCG